GGGCGACGCCUGAACCAGCCAUGCCCGCGAUGUGUGAAGAUGGUUUUCCGGAUCUGAAAGCACUUUUCAGUCCGGGAGGAAGGGCAUUAAACCUAAUCCGUUAGUGGUUUUCGACGUUACCGACAGAAAAAGCACCGGCUAAACUCCGUGCCAGCGUCCGCGGUAAACGA
rnacentral:rRNA from 1 species